rnacentral:rRNA from 1 species
UCGGGAAACCGGAGCUAAUACCGGAUAAUAUUUUGAACCGCAUGGUUCAAAAGUGAAAGACGGUCUUGCUGUCACUUAUAGAUGGAUCCGCGCUGCAUUAGCUAGUUGGUAAGGUAACGGCUUACCAAGGCAACGAUGCAUAGCCGACCUGAGAGGGUGAUCGGCCACACUGGAACUGAGACACGGUCCAG